UGGGGGAUCCAGGAACAGGGAAAGGGGUAAAUGGAAGGAAUUCCUCUUAUGCAGGUAAUCAUUGGAAAUAUGCUACAACUUAUAUGUUUUCACUGUUUAUUGGUAUUGUAGGAAAUAUUAACCUUUUGCUGCAAAGCAGGAGAUCCUACAGACCAACAUUCUGGAACUCUGAAAAGAGUUUUCUUCUCUGGAGGAGAGUGGCAGUUGGUUGAGUUGAUCUUUGGAGACUGAGAUCUUUCUUCAAUCAAGUCAUCUUAAGGAAGUGGUAGAGACAGUGGCUAACAUUACACCAGUGGAUGGUGCAUGUGUUAAACCAUCACACCCCUUCUGAUCCUGGGUGGUCCUGUCUGUUGCUGAUAUCCACUGGGACUUCUGACAGAUCCAAGAGGUUAUUUUUCAGUCACAUCUGACUCUGUGACCAUACUUGGAGUUUCCUUGGCAAGGAUACUGGAGUGGUCUGCCAUUUUCUUCUCCAGCUAAUUUUGCAGAUGAGGAAACUGAGGGCAUAUACUCCUUAAAUGUGAUCCUACCAUUGAUGACUACUGGGUUCCUUGGAAGUCCUUCAAAGUUUGGAGUAAAGAGAACUAGAUCAUGUGCUGCUGACUUUCCAGGAAGAACUUCAAAGGCACUGAAUUGGAAGUCAGAAGACCUCUAUUCAAAUCUUGACCCUGCCACUUAGUUUCUUCAUUUGUAAAGGAAGGGGAUUAGACUAGAACACUUCUAAUGUUUCUUUUACCUCUAAGUCUGUGAUGCUAAAUAAUGUAAUUUUUGCCACUCUGUCUUUCCUCUUUUUCUGCCUUCAACUAUCUCUGCUGAAUUCAUAUUAUCUGAAUAUAAAGUCAUAUAUUCCCAUCUUUUCUGUUUGCCAUUCUGUUUUCCUCUAGAAUUCCUUCUACACCAGGGAUUAUUAAUCUUUUUUUUUUUUAUCAUGGACCCCUUUGGCAAUCUAUUGACACCUAUAGAUCCCUUGUUAGAAUGAUAUUUUUAAAUUCAUAAAAUAAAAUACUUAGGAUUACACAGAAAUCAAAAGUUUGCCAAAAAUAAAGAUGCAUUUUUCCCACAUUUAAGUUUAUAGGCCUUCUGAAAUCUAACUAUGGAACAGCUUAAGGAAAUGUGGAGCCCAAGAUAAGAAUCCUUCCCUUUCAAUUUGGAACUAUGCCCAAAGGGUGCUAAAAGACUGUCUGCCCUCUGAUUCAUCCAUAGCACUGCUGGGUUUGUACUCCAAAGAGAUAAUGAGGAAAAAGACUUGUACAAGAAUAUUCAUAGCUGCACUCUUUGUGGUGGCAAAAAAUUGGAAAAUGAGGGGAUGCCCUUCGAUUGGGGAAUGGCUGAACAAAUUGUGGUAUAUGUUGGUGAUGGAAUACUAUUGUGCUAAAAGGAAUAAUGAACUGGAGGAAUUCCAUGGGAACUGGAUUGACUUCCAGGAAUUGAUGCAGAGUGAGAGGAGCAGAACCAGGAAAACAUUGUACACAGAGACCGAUACACUGAGGUAAAAUCAAACAUAAUGGACUUCUUUACUAGCAGCAAUGCAAUGACCCAGGACAGUCCAGAGGAACUUGUGAAAAAGAAUGCUAUCCACAUCCAGAGAAAGAACUGUGAGAACAGAAACACAGAAGAAAAACAACUGCUUGAUCAUGUGGUUUGAUUGGGAUAGGUUUGGGAAUGUAGCUGCUAAAUGAUCAUUCUUGUGCAAAUAUUAACAAUAUGGAAAUAGGUCUUGAUCAAUGACACAUGCAAAACCCAGUUGAAUUGCUUGUUGGCUACAGGAGGGGGUAGGAAGGAGUGGAAAGGAGUGAGGAGGGGAGGGAAAGAAUACAAAUCAUGUAA